rnacentral:lncRNA from 1 species
GCUCCAUCUGGGCCAUACCUAGCCUACCUCAUGUCCUACUGUACACCUGAAAUCCAAUCUGGUUACAGCCUCUCUCAGAGUCUCAGUGGCCAAGGACCAGUUUGCUGUUGUUCUUAAGCAUAAAAUAUGAAUUUACAGUGCCACUAUUUGAUGAGAUUCUCUCUGAAAAUUAUAUACAACUCUUGAUACACUUGCCUCCUGUUAAUUAGAGGAUACUUUGUAGAAGACCAGCUACAGCAAAAAUUGCUGUAACAGUCAAAAUCCUCCACAGUAAGAAGGAAAUCCUGCUGAGGAUAGUAUUUUCUAUAGACAAGAAUUGCAGGACUCCAGCCAAAGGCCAUGUCCUUAUCAAUGUGCGUAGAUGCCACUCUGCAACACAAUGUGUUUUGUAAUAUGUUGUUCUCAUUUCUGUAUCAGUCAGUCAGUCAGCCAGUCCUCAAUUGUGUGAAAAGGUAUCCUAACAGAUUAUCCAAAAACUACUUCUAUUUACAUUUGAAAAAUAAUAAAGAACAGGAUGAUUUCCAGAAUUAUAUUUUAAUAGUUAUAUAAUUAUAUGUUUACAUAAUUAUUUAUAUAUUUAUACAUUAUUUAUACAUUAUUUAUAUAUAUUUAUAUAAUUAUUUAUACUUAUAUAAUUAGUUCACAUUUCCAUAGUAGGCAUAAAUUGAUAUACUUAAGGGAAAGUCUGGAUGCCCUCACCUGCUGAUAAUUUGGAUAUUUGUCUUUCAAAUCCCAUGUUGAAAUUUGAUUGUCAAUGUUGGAAGUGGGGUUUGGCAGGAAGUUUUUGAGUCAUGGGGGCAGAUCCCUCAAGGAUGUCUUGAUGCCAUUCUGACCAGAGUGCAUGAGUUCUCA